UCUCUAGUGACCUAAUGGAUAGGGCACUGGCCUCCUAAGCCGGGGGUUGUGGGUUUGAGUCCCAUCUGGGGUG
rnacentral:tRNA from 1 species